UACGUAGGUGGCAAGCGUUAUCCGGAAUUAUUGGGCGUAAAGCGCGCGCAGGCGGUUUCUUAAGUCUGAUGUGAAAGCCCACGGCUCAACCGUGGAGGUUCAUUGGAAACUGGGGAACUUGAGUGCAGAAGAGAAAAGCGGAAUUCCACGUGUAGCGGUGAAAUGCGUAGAGAUGUGGAGGAACACCAGUGGCGAAGGCGGCUUUUUGGUCUGUAACUGACGCUGAGGCGCGAAAGCGUGGGGAGCAAACAGG
rnacentral:rRNA from 1 species